GUGCAUGCAUUCUUUCAACUUUCCCUUUUCCCCAUGCAGCAGAGAUAUGAAGCCUUAGAACUGUCCACAUAACAAAGUCUCCUGAUCCCCCGCGUCCCAUUCAUUGGCUGCUUCCGGAAAAUGUGGCUUAACUGCGUUAGAGUUCACGCACGUCUCGAUGGUUGGGAACUCCUCAAAAAGGUAUGGCAAUUCUGACGGCUUGUUUAUUUCUCCCAUCACGGCUUAGGAACACUUCUGUACAGGUUGUGUUCUGGUAAAAUAAAGAUGUGAUUCUAGUCUAGAGAAUUAAGUGGACUGAUGUGUCUUAUUCAGGAGGAGGAUAGUGAUAUGGCAUUCUUUAAAAAAAAAAAAUGUAUAAAAGGGGCCCCUGCGUGGCUCACUGGGUUGAGCUUCUGACUUCAGCUCAGGUCGUGAUCUCACAGUUGUGGGUUCGAGCCCUGCGUCGGGCUCUGCACUGACAGCUCGGAGCCUGGAGCCUGCUUCAGAUUCUGUGUCUCCCUCUCUCUCUGUCCCUCCCCUGCUCAUGCUCUGUCUCUCUCUCUCUCUCAAAAAUAAAUAAACAGAAAGAAAUGUAUAAGCAAUUGUAUUAAAUAUAAUUCUUCAAUUGUAAGUGACAAAAGAAUAACCGUUGAAUUAUAAUUGUUCCAACAGAAAUAAGGUAGAUUUUAAAGAAAUUGCUAAAAAUAUGUAAUAAAUGAAUUGAUUUGAACUUGACAAAUUUUGACAGUUAUAAGGAGAAAUUUACAUUAUAUUCACAUGCUUCUUCAUUGCUGUUUCAGAAACUUGGAAAGAAAGUACAAAAUCAAAAAAAUAUAGUGUUAGGGCUAACGACACAGUGAGGCAGAAUUCGACUGUAUUUCUCUAUAUCACAAUUUACAUUUAGAAAGUAAAACAAAACCCAUAUUAUUUAUAACAGCAUUUAAGCCAUCAAUUAUAUAGAAAUAAAUCUAACAAAAGAUGAGAACUCUAUUGAAAAACAUAAAACUUCAUUAAGAAACACAUAAGUGGAAAGUAUGCCACAUUCAUGGAAAUAAGACUAAAAUAUUAUAAAUAUACUAAAUCUGUGUCAAAUUUAUUUCAAUAUUCAAUGACAUCAUUUUUUUUCCUCUUGUGGAACUUGAGACAGUAAGUUCUAAGUAAAAAUGGAAAAAUAAUAGUAACAUUUUUGAAGCUGGGAAGACUGAGUCUCAAGGCAUUCUGACAUAUUUAUUAUAAAGCUCUAAUCAUUGAGAGCUCAUGUAACUGAUGCAGGAAUAGAAAAUAGUGCACAAAAGCAUAAAAGGAGCAAGAAAAAGACACACACGAGGAACUUCGAUAUAUGACCAAGGGACAAGGUAGAUGAAUGGAGAAUGUGAAUAUUCCAAAAACGGCACCUAGUAAUUGAGUGCCAUUGGAACAGAAUUAAACUGGUUUCCUGUUUCAAACAUUACAAAAAAAAAGUGUAUAUUGCAUAAAGUUUAAUUAUGGAAAAAAGUAUGAAGAUUUUAGAAGACAUUAUAGAAUUACAUACUUAAGGUUGCCUGGGUGGCUCAGUCGGUUAAGCAUCUGACUUCGGCUCAGGUCAUGAUCUCAAGGUUCAUAAGUUUGAGCCCCCACAUCUGGCUCUGUUUUGGAUUCUGUGUCUCCCUCUUUCUGUGUCCCUCCCCCACUCGUGCUGUAUCUCAGUCUCUGUCUCUCUCUCUCUCUCAAAAAUAAACUUUAAAAAAAAGUUAAACAAACAUAAAAGAUGAAUUAUACAUUCAAGAUUGCAAGGUAGUAAAUGAUUUCCUAAACGAGAUACAAAUUAAGGGAAAACUUAUAAAUCUGUGCCCCCCCCACUCGCAUGCACACACUCUCUCUCUCACAAUAAAUAAAUAAACAUUUGCUAAAAAAGAAUAUUUAAAAAAGCUUAAUAUUAUGGCUCAUAUAAUUGCAAAUUAAAAUCAUGAUAAGCUAGUGUAUACUUAUCAAACCAAAAUUUGGCGUUGAAUACGGAGCAAUCAAGCUUUCCUCCACUACUGUGGCAAUGCACGUUGGCACAGCGAAAAUAGUGUGUGUCACCUACCGAAAUUGAAAACUAUUCGUAUAUAUAUAACCCAGAGAAUUCGCUUCCAGACAUGAGUUCAGGGAGACUUGCACAUGAACUUGAACAUGAACACAUAUCCAUGAACGUCCAUAGCAUCCCUGUCAACAGAACUGAAUGUAGCCAAAUAAGUAAUAAACUGUGACAUAGUCACACAGCAUGGAUCUCGCUGGCAUAAUUUUGAGUAAAGAAACAGGACAUCAAAGAGACCAUGUUGUUCUAUUAACACAAAAUUCCCAAGCAGACAAAUCUAAAUUUCUGUUGUUUACAGGUACAUAAUUGUAUGGGAAAAUUAUAAAGAAAAGCUGGGAGCUGAUUACCAUGAAAGUUAAUAUGGUGGCUACAUUUAGACCCAGAGGGGGUUGUUUGAAACACAGUGGAAGUUAUUUUAGAGGAGGGACAUGAGGACAUUUUCUUGAGUGUGAGCUGUGUCCUAUGUCUUGUUCAUUGUAGUUUGCUCAUCUAUCCUGUUACUUUGCCCAUGUGUUUUAUUUACUGUUGAUAGAGUAUGCUAUAUUUUAUGAGAAUGAAGAAACAAAAUAUUCACAAUGCCAGUUAAAAAGACAUGUCAUUGAGGAAUAACUCUGAAAUCAUACAUGAAUUUAUGGAGCCGAAUAUAAACUUGGCUUCUCUUUAAUGUCCUUCAGUGAGGGAAGAACACCAGUUAACAGACUGCAACACGCAAUGCAGAAAAAGUUUACUUGUCCCACACAUAACCUUUAAAUGCAGAGUAAUUCUAACCACAAUCUCAAGAGGCUUUGCCAGGGGGGUUGACAAACAGGUUCUGAAGUUUAUUUAUAAAAAUUAAAUUUGGGGUCGCCUCGGUGGCUCAGUUGGUUAAGCAUCUGACCCUUGACUUUGGCUCAGGUCAUGAGGACCUCAUGCGUGAGUUCAAGCCCAGAGUUGGCUCUGUGCUGACUGAUUCUUUCUCUCUCCCUCCCUCUCUGCCCCUCUCCUGAUCAUGCUCUCUCUCUCUCUCUCUCUCGAACUAAAUAAACAAUAAAAGAAUAUAUAAAAUUUUAAGUGUAGCCAAAAUUAUUCUGAAAAAGAACGAACACCUUUUGGUACUAAAAAUGUUACUUCAGUGAGGAACCACUUUUGUUACCUUAAAAUGAAGUCACAACCACUUCAGGUCCUUUACAGCUCACAGAAUGUGAGGAUACUUUCAAUUUCUUUCUCCAAAAGGCCUUUAAAGAGGAAAAUAUAAAACUUCUUUUAGCAUCCCAUUUGAACUGGUAUUGACUUUCCGUUUCGGAAGUUAUUUUUGUGGCCCAAACGAAAUUUCUUGUCCUCACGCUUGUGUCUUAUGUUGUCUCCAUUGUCUGUGCUUCAAGGCUUCCAAUCUUUAAAGAUUCUUCCUAAGUUCUCAUUAUUUUUCCCCCUCCCAAUGGGGAGAAAAAAAUAGCAGCUCCAAGACUUUCCCUGAUUUUCAUACUUCCUGUGUUCUCCAAAAUUUUCUCUCUUUUUGUUUUGUUUCUCUUCAACUUGACUGGGGCAGGAGGGAUGUGAGAGGGUAGAGCCUAGGUAGAGGCAGAAGAUAUUCACCAGUUACGGGGGACAUUUUGUUUUGAGGAGUAUAUGCCCGCUGUUACUGGUCCUGCAGGUUUAACCAAUAUUAUAAAUAGGAAGGAGUGUUGUAAUAAACAAUAAUCGUUUUUUUUUCCAGGUUUGCUAAACCCAAGCCAAUGGCGUAUUUAUCUAACAGAAUGUAUGAGUAGCACUGUAUAAUUUUCUGUUUAUUUUCACAUACAUUAUUUCAUUGUAUUUGCUAAAUGGUUUUUUGAGUUGAUGACUGGUAUUAUUACUCCCUCGGAUGAGGGCACCCUGCGUGUUGACCUGAUUUGCCCAAGGUCACCCGAGGACAGCAGGACAAGCCCUUAAGCCAAGUCUUCUUUUAACUGAUAUUCUUUCUUUUUCACAUACUCAAGUACUCAUUUGAUAUAUCCCAACUCCAGCAUCACAAACUAAUUUGGAUAACCUCCUAGCAUUUACAUAAUGUAUUCCAUUUUGGGGUUAUUGGGCGAUUUCUCCUGUGGAAGAACAUCUGCCUGCGAUCGUCAUUCGUAACAAAUAGAACGGUGCCCCCUCACUCCACCCCACCCCCCAUCAAUAUAUUCGCAUCCUAAUUCCUCCAAGCUGGUGAAUGUGCUACAGACCCUGGUAAAAGAGAAGUGGCAGAUGGAAUGAUGGUUUCCAAACAACUGAUCUUAAAAUAAGAUUGCUCUGGAUUAUCUGGUGAAGCCAAGGGAAUCACAAAGGUCCUUGAAAUGUGGACGAAGUGUCAGAAAAGGCUGUGUCAAUGUGAUGUGAUGUGACAGCAGAACAAAUCAGCCAUUGCUUGCUUUGAAGAUGGAAGGGGCCAUGAGGCAAGGAAAGCAGGAGGCCUUAAAAUACUAGAAAAGGCAAGAAAACGGAUUCUCCCUGAGAGGCUUGUUUCCCGAUGCCCAAAGUUGGGAUCUUCUCCAAUACCAAUUCUCUAGUUCUCCAACACUGAGUGGGUGUCCAGCAUUUCAAUUAAAUUCUGACACUAAGUCCCAGGGUUAGCCCCCCAGAUUAAGGGCUCAGUCCCACCGGGCUGCCCCCACUUCAGACACCAGCCACAAAUGCGGUGUCCAGGGUACUCACAUUUCUGCCUGUAAAUGCACGGGUUCCCACAACUCCUCCUCAGGUUCAGUAACUUGCUAGACCUACUCAGGAAGCUCGGGGAAACAGUUUACUUACCAUAGCCUUACCAUAAAGGAUACAACUCAAGAACUGUCAAAUGAAAGAGACGCGAAUGAAAGAGACGCAAAGGGUAAGGGCUGGGGAUGGGGUAGGGGUACAUGCAGAGCUUUCUUCCUCCCCAAACCUUGAUCUGUUCGCCAACCCAGGAACUCUCCAAAGUCCAUUGUUUAGGGGCUUUUAAUGGAACUUUCUUACGUAGGCAUGCUUGAUUAAAUCAUGGGCCAACAGCAAUUGAACUCAAUCUCCAGCCCUUCUCUCCUCCUGGGAGGUGAGUGGUGGGGUGAAGUCAAAACUCCCAAGGCUAUAAUCAGGGUUUGGACUUUGUGCUGACCAGACUCCAUCCAGAAGCUGCGUAGGAAUGUCCUGCCCAACAGUCAUCUCAUUAGCAUACCAAAGAUGGUCAUCACUCCCAGAGUCCAAGCAUUUUAAAACCUCUGUGCCAGGAACCGGAAACAAAGACUAAAUAUUUUUUGUUAUCUCACACGCCCCCAGAACCUCCAAAAAGGAGCACAGCUCUACCAACACACCUUGAUUUUAGUCCAUUGGGACCCAGUUUGGACUUCUGACCUCCAGACCAAUUUGCAUUGUUUUAAGUCACUAAAUCUGUGAUGAUUUGUUAGAGCCAUCUGAGACUAAUACACCCUUUUAUAAACAUUUGCAGCAAAUUAUCACACUCCUGUAGCGAGGCAGGAUUUCAAAUAUUGACAACAUGGGAAGAGCUUUGGUUUUUGUUUGUUUGGUUGGUUUUUUGGUUGUUGUAUUUAUCAAAGAUUUUCACAGCAAAAUUUUUCCUCUUGUAUAGCUGUUUAUAUCAAUGCAAUGCAAACUGACAGGAUACUGACAUUUGAAGGAAAAUACACUAUUUUCAGAUCAGAUAUCAGCUGUCAACUUGGAUAGAGUGUAUUGUUUCUGAUAUUUUACAGCCCAGUUCACAAAAAUUUUACAUGCUUACAAUUCAGUUCUGGUGUGAAAAUUUUGUUGAAAUAUGUUGCAUAUGGGGUGGACAAUAAGAGGCUUCAUGGGCACAGCCUGAAUAGAUUACAUUGGGCCUAAAUAGGAAGGGACACAUGUAAAUAUGAAAUAAAAAUGAGGGAAUGAAAAAAUACUCAAUGAAGCAAAUGAAAUUAGUAAAUAAUUUACGCCAAUAACACUCAAACACACAAAAUGAAUAAGUAUUUGGAUUGCUCACUCACAAUUCAGAAUUCAAUGUACUUUCUUUAGCUGGGGCUGAAUUUAUAUAGUAGCCAGAAAUCAGGAUACUAAAUAUUAAUUAAGCCCUAUUUUCUGUUGACUGAAUUAGAACAUUGUGAUGUAACUAUGAGAAUCUUUGCACUGUAGGUAUAUGGGAAGAAAUCCUCUCAAUAUUAAUAUGCAUGUAGAGACCGAUCAUCACGUUUGUUACAACUUACUUUUAAAGUACUUUUAUAUGACUUUUCGAGAUGAAAGUACAUGCAAAUACAAAGUAUCAGAUUAUUGUGUUGAUGAAGGGACAUGAUGAAUUAGCAUUUCCUUUUUACUCUAAAGAAAAUGGAGCCCCAGAGAACUUAAGUGCACACAACAAAGUGUUCAGUUGUGCUUUAAAACAAUCGCAUUAGGGGUAUCUGGGUGGCUCGGUCAAUUGAGCGUCCGGCCUCGGCUCAGGUUAUGAUCUCACAGUUCCCGGGUUAUAGCCCCGCAUGGGGCUCUGUGCUGAUAGCUCAGAGCCUGGAGUUGCUUCAGAUUCUGUGACUCCCUCUCACUCUGCCCCUCCUCUCUCAAAAAUAAACAUUAAAAAAUAUAUUACAAAAAUACAGUCACAUUAAAAAAAUUGGAAUUGUUAAUCUGAUCUAAAGAACCAUGGUUUUUGAAAGAGAAUAAAAUAAUUAGGCUUGAAUUCUUUUGAAUUAUUUUGCAUCAUUUUUCAAAGCAAAUGUGACAUUGAACUUUCCUUGUAAAGCAUAAUUUAUUAUUUUUGUUAAUAUUGCUAUUAUUAUUUAUACGUAUUGAAAAUAAUUUCUAAAUUAUUACAAAUAGAGAAUUAACAUGUUUUUGAAACCACUUUAGGAUUUACAUCGUUUUUACCUAUAUUACCUUAUUUAAUCUUUACAGUUAUUAUUUAAAAUAACGGCGAAUAGGUUUUUUAGUAACUUUUUUUAAACUAGGAAAUAAAUGUUUGAGCUCUGAUUUGCCAUUUAUCUCUUUUUUUUUUAAGUUUAUUUAUUUAUUUAUUUUCGAGAGAGAGAAAGGGCAUGAGCAGGGGGGGAGCAGAGAGAGAGAGGAAGAGAAUCUCAAGCAGGCUUCACACUGUAAGUAUGGAGCCCAGUACAGGGCUGGAACCUAUGAACCGUGGGAUCAUGACCUGAGCCAAAAUCAAGAGUUGUACCCUUAACUGACUGAGCCACCCCGGCACCCCUACUCUUUUCCAUUUCAAAUUCAGAUGCUUCCCUCAGGGCCAGGGACACUGAGAAUAUCCCAAGAAUGGAUUUUUUAACCUAUCUUCACCUUACAAUUUCUGUAUUUUUUUCAUAAUAAAUCAAAAAAAUGUCACAAAUUACCUAAUUAACAGAUUCAAAUUAUACUGAAACCUAACUGCAAGCUAGGCAAUAUUAGUCACAGUUUCACAUCUUCUUUGAUAAAGGCUUAGCCAGGUCUUAGUAUGUGGUUCAUAUUUUGUGCCUUACACACAUGUCACCCAUAUCACAGUGAAUGAGAGGUUGGCUUAGUAAGCAGUGUCAGCCAGGAGAAAGAACUGCUUUCUCGUAACCCAUCUUCCCAGAUAGGGCGCCAUUUUGCGAUUUAUAAAAGUGUCACAUGGGCACUGGGUUAGGGCAACAAAAAUUGCUUGCUAACUUAAUUUUUUUAACCUUAUUAAUCAAGAAAUCAUAGUUACCAGAUUUAUCUGUUGUCUGUACUAGAAACAUGGGAACUAUAUAGUUUUAUAUCUAUAUCAUUAAAAUUAUUUUCUUUCAGACAUGAAGAUAUUUGUGACCCUUCCUGAAAUAUUCCAAGAUGAUUGGCUCAAAAAUUUCUUUUUGAGUGAUUUGGUACAAAGAUUACAUUUUCUACAACAUUAUAAGAAAAUGAGUCCAAAGGAGGACCAAAAUGGACAGACACCCCCUUAAAUGCUCUCCCCCUUUCUGAGUGUCAUAAACAAUAAAUAAGGCCACAACCUGACAUUUGGAAGGUCAGAAAUAUGAGUUUACAGAAACUCAUAUAACCAUAUCAGCUUCAUUGAUUAUAAGCUGGAGUUCUUUAAUUCUAAAGAUGGCUCUGUAACAUUCUUCCUUCCCCAUUUGAUAACCUUUCUCCAAUCUCCCAUUCUCGUGUCACUAUCUAGGCUCAAGGCAUCAGUAUUGUUGCAACAUCCACAAACUAUCCUAUAUGUGAUCAAUUGAUUGAUUGAGUGAACAUUUAUACAAGUCUUAAUAUGGGCCACACACUGUUCUAAUUGUUUUACAAGUACUAACUUAUUUAAUCCUCUGCAAGAGAAUACCAUUAUUAUCCCCAUUUUACUGAUGAAGAUACUGAGUAUAGAAAGUAACUUUGUCAAGAUACCACAGCUAGUGAAGUAUCAGAAUCAGGCUUCAACCUGGCUAGUCUAGCUAGAGUCUUUACCAUUAACUACUACUUGUUUUAAUUCCAGCCUUCCUUUCCCUUCUCACCUCCCCCCGCCCCUCAUCCAAUCCACUUCCUAUACUAUACCAGGUUAAUCUCUAUUGGGGACAUUUUGACCAUGGAUUUAUUAAACACACCCUUGUAUUUCUGCUUGUGCCUGUACAAGUCACUAAAGGCUCAAGAUACCCUCUGAAUCUUCCAGAAACUCAUAGCUUAGUGGAAGAGACUGACAUCUUGAUGAAUGGUAGCAUGCAUGUUACACAUUUGAUAUGCCUGAAUCCCAUUAGUCUAUUUCCUUUAGAUUUUUGACUCAUGGCGUACACAUGAAAGAAUGGCAAGGGAAAUGAAAAAUGAGACACCAUUUUAUUAAUCCAGGCAAGCACUUCAUAACCCUAAAGAUGUAGGGAUGUUUGUAAACUGUGUUGCCAUAAGCAGCCAAAGCCUGAGGCAUCCUUCACAUAGAUUUUGUCCAUCACAGUAUGAAGCCUGCUGGCAGAUUAUAUGACUGGCCUCAGGUAUCCACAUCUACAAACACUGUAGGCCUGCUUCAUAGAUGUGAGGCUUGAGGAAUUGAGGUUGAACAGUGAACAUGCGUCACUUCCCAAUGUGUUUACCGUUGGGAGGCAGUUCAGUGUCAGACUUUGACCAAGCUGACCAACCAGACCUUCUCUUUGGGAACGGGCUGGAAACACUGUACAUGUCCUAUUGAUUCUGUGUAUGUUGAAAGGAGCAGAGGUCUUCUCCCUUCCCAGAGUGGGAGGAAAGAGAAUAUGGGUUCUCUCCAGCGGUGGAGUAAGACGCACAACCCCAAAGGCGCACUGAAUGUAAAACCACCUGACUCUGACCAGGAAAAUCAGACACUUACCCAAAGAGCAGUCUUUUGAACUAAGACUUGAUGUAAACUUAAUAAAUUUAAGAAAUAAGCAUAAAUGUUUAUCGAGAAGACGAGAGAAGAAAUACGUAUUUCCAGCAAAAGGAAGGACAGGAGCAAAGCUACCCAAGUGGAAAAGAAUAUGGAGGUCCAAGAAGAUGCCAUGGCUAAAAAGGGCUGUAUUUGCAGGGUAAGAUGAGCCCAACGGUUGGGGGCGGGGAGGGAGGGGGUCAGCAUGCGAAUGAAUUUGAAAAAUGGAUUAGGAAUCUGGACUGAAUCCUACGAGUAGUAUUCAAGGUAUGUACCAUGAAUUUCUGAAGUUCUGUGGGGUUUUUGAGGUUCCGCAAACACUUCAUUCGAUACCCUUUAAAUUGCAUUUUUAAACAGUUCUUAAAACAUGUGACCAAAAAUAAUAUAUUCUAAAACUUAACCCCCUGAGCAUUAUCAAUAUAAUAACUACAACCAAGUUAUCUCAUUAUGGGGUAUAUAUUUUAGUCUUUCUGUGCAAUUAUUAUAACUUCUGAUGAAAACGAUUGAUUAGGAAGUUUGCUGAGUUGUCCCAAGCAUGUCUAGUUAAUUGAUAUUAGGGAAUGCUAAGGCAUGUUAAAGCUAGUUUUAGAACCUAUGGUAAGAGGUGUUUUUAUCUGGUACAAGUCUUAUAUUUAUAAAUGCUACCUUUUUAUGUUUUGUGAGGUCAAAUAAUUUUGGGUUUCUGCCUAAAACUAGAAAAUGUAAAAUAAUCGAAGGCCAGUUUCAAGGAGAAAUAACCAAUCAACUGUGCUGUCACCUGAUCAUUUAACCAGUGUUGGUCAUAGUGACAAUACAAAAUAAAAUCAAUUUGUUCUGCUUUUACACAAAAUCACUCACGGGCAAAAAUACUCUGAUCCUAUUUAUUUGGUGCUGGUGUUUAUCUUCAGUUGCAAUAAGAUAGCCCCAUGCUCCACCAAGUUUUAUGCAGUGAGUUUUCCAAAAGAGUUUCUGUGAUUCUAACUAAGUAAUAAUGUCAUUCUGUAAACAACAUAGCGUGCGUGAAAAUAAAGCUUUACACUUCUGUCUGCAAAAAUACAUAACUUCAUGUUAUUUUUAGAAACAUGACUUAAACUUAAAUUUGAUGAUAUUCAAAUACCUUCAUGUGUCACAUGUGUUGGAAAAGCUAAAUUACCAGGACAGAGCUUAUUCAACUUUCUGUUACUGACAUGCACAAAUGUCAUGUGAAUCGCCUCCUAGAAAAUGCAAUCAGCUAACUCAGUCAAGACGAAAACAUCCAUUGUUCUUGCUUUGUGUGAGAUUUUCAUAUGGACUUAUUAUUUUGUGGGAUGCUUGACACACGUACAGCUGGGGGAAAAAUCCAUAAUGUGGGACUGUACUUGGAAUUACUCAGAUCUAGCCUGUUAAAUUUAAUCAUAUUUUCAGAGUUUAAAUAUCUUAAUUUCCAAAGAACAAAGUGAAAUGGGAUGAUAUUUUAGUAUAAAGAAAAUCUGUUUUACAUAUGUAGUUGCAACUGAAUAAUAUAAAGCAACUGUUAACCUCCAAAAUUUAUAAUUGACCAAACUAACUACAACUCAUGAAUUACCAAGUGCCUCGGGCAGUUCGUGCUGCUAUACUAAGAUACCAUAGACUGUGGGUGCUUAAAUAACAGAUAUUUAUUUGUCACAGUUCUGGAGGCUGGAAAAUACAAGAUCAAGGUAGCGGUAGAUUCACUUUCUGGACUGCAGAUGACCAUCUCCCUGCGUGUGCCCAUGGCCUAUCCUCAUGCACGCUUGUGGAGAGAGACAGAGAGAUCUCUCUCUCUCUUCCUCUUCUUAUUAGGGCGCUAAUUCCAUCAUGAGGGUCCCACCCUCAUAACAUAAUCUAAACCUGAUUACCUCCCAAAAGCUCUAUGUCUAAAUACUGUCACACUGGGGUUAGGGUUUCAACAUAAGAAUUUUUCAGAGAUGCAAACAUUCAGUCCAUAACACCAGAAGGUCACCCUGGCAUCUAUAGGGUCAUCUCUGAUACAACUUCCUGCUCAAUUCAUAACACAGGUGAUACAACAGAAAAGCAGAAGAAUGGAAAAACUGUUGUUUCCUAAAUGUGUCCAAGUAGUUAUUCUACUUUUAGUAGGUAGUAAUAAUAAUUAAGAUGUUAUUUUUCGAAAUAGCAUUGAUUAAUGACACACAAGCUGUCCGUUUUGUUAAGGCACCGUCUUUAAACUGCAGAUCUCUCAAUUAUUUGUAGUAAUUUCAGUAACUUCUAGGAUUUCUAUACACUCUUAUUGGUUGUCUUAAGUUAAAAUGCUGAUAAUAUUUCAAGGGCCACCAAAAGUAGUUACCCUUUAUUUCCUAAAACCGAAAUACUCUUCCAUUAGAUAGAACAGAUUAUUAUCUGUAAGCUUAACUACUGAAACAUCCUACCAAUAAAAUUUUUCUAAAAAUAUUUUUUAAAAACACAUUUAAGGGGCGCCUGGGUGGCUUGGUCGGUUAAGUGUCCGACUUCGGCUCAGGUCAUGAUCUCACGGUCCGCGGGUUCGAGCCCCGCAUCCGGCUCUGUGCUGACAGCUCAGAGCCUGGAGCCUGUUUUGGAUUCUGUGUCUCCCUCUCUCUCUGCCCCUCCCCCGUUCAUGCUCUGUCUCUCUCUGUCUCAAAAAUCAAUAAACGUUAAAAAAAUAAAUAAAUAGGGGCGCCUGGGUGGCUCAGUCGGUUAAGCGGCUGACUUCGGCUCAGGUCAUGAUCUCGCGGUCCGUGAGUUCGAGCCCCGCAUCGGGCUCUGUGCUGAUCGCUCAGAGCCUGGAGCCUAUUUCACAUUCUGUGUCUCCCUCUCUCUGACCCUCCCCCGUUCAUGCUUUGUCUCUCUCUGCCUCAAAAAUAAAUAAACGUUAAAAAAAAUAAAAAAUAAAUAAAAAAUAAAAAAUAAAUAAAUAAAUAAAUAAAUAAAUAAAAACACAUUAAAAAAUUGCAGUGACGCUUGAAAAAUUGUUUUCUAGGUUUAUGGGUUAAAAACUUUGAAAUUGUAGCUUAGGUAUACUGGGAUUAAACAAAUCAAUGGACGAUGGAAGGUAAGAGUCAGAUUUCUCAUUGUGGGAGGAAAAAGUUACAUAAGAGCAAGAGGCAAAUGCAAGAAUGAGCCAUGAGGUCCUGCACUAGAAUCAGAGACAUUAGGGGGUUCCUGGGUGGCUCAGUUAGUUGAGCAGUUGACUUCGGCUCCGGUCAUGAUCCCGCAGUCUGUGAGUUCGAGCCCCACGUUGGGCUCUGUGUUGACGACUCAGAGCCUGGAGCCUGCUUCAGAUUCUGUGUCUCCCUCUCUCUCUGUUCCUCUCCUACUCACACUCUGUCUCUCUGUCUCUCUCUCUCUCUUAAAAAUAAAUAAAGCUAAAAAAAUUAAAAGAAAAAGAAUCAGAGACAUUAGGGUGAGCUUGUGUAUAGUUUAUUUCAGAUACAGCUAGAUGGAUAACAGAAAAAAGAAGAACUAUUUGUAUACAUUUCAGAGCUCUGUUCACUAAGUCCUUGAAGCAAUUACGUUCCUACAGUGUGCUCACCCAGUGCUCAGACCUUGUCUUUUAAUAUAUUUCCAAAUAAAGGAACUGGAACUCUUUGGAAAAAUGAUUGUAGCGCUUGGACAGUGAAUAUAUAGAUGAAACUGGAGCCUCUUGCCAUGCCAGAAAGUAAGAAAGUAAGUGCUAAAAGACAAUACAAAACAAAACAACAUGGAAAAAAACCAAAAACCAAGAAACCAAGGAUGGGAAAUGUCAAGGAACAUAGUGCCAUUAAUGGCCAAAUUUGAAUUUUCAAGUAGAAAAGGCUUACCAAGCGCCAGUUCAGAUUACGGCAAAAAGACAGACACAGACUGAAGCAGAAACCAGCAACGUGCUGAAUUCCAAAAACAAAGAGAAAUCAUGUAAAGUUUCUUGAAAGAUGAGGACUAACAAAGGAAGAUAAUAGCUUGUCAUCAGAUUUCUCCUCUGCAACACUGGACAGUGGAAGACAGGGCUUGAGGAAAAGGACAGUGUCCUUGUAGUAUUGUGUAUAGCCAAGCUUUUAUAAAUAAGGAAGGAAGAAGUAAGGCCACACUCAUAUAUUUCAAGUUCCAGAAGCCCAUCAUUCAUCACAAUUGUUCCCCCCACCCCAAGGGAGAAGGGAGAGGCAGUGGAGGGAGAAUUCAAAGUAUUACACCCAAAUAAUAAAAAAAAUCUCUAAAGGUAAUAAUAUCUAUAAAACAGGAGUGGGCAAAGAAUCAUGUGAAAACUUCUAUCAAAAUAAAUUGUGACCAUGUGUUUGCAAGCUGUAAAGUUCUUUGCUAAAAAUGAAGUUUAAAAUUAUCUAAGAGAUUCAGUCGCUGACUCCUACCAAAAUGCAGAAGCAACCUGAGCGGUUGAAAAAUAAACAGAAUUUACUACUCUUCCUUUCAAGUUUCCAGAUCAGUUGAAUUAUUUAAACUUCAAGAUUCUAGACUGCUAUGUAAAAAGGGCUAUUAUCAUUCAUGACUACUUAUCUUUGUGACUCAAUAUUUUUUCUAUUCUGUCCGAAAUAACUUCUUUCCACGCUGAACUGAUACCACACUUCACUAUCAUUCCUUCCUGUCAAUUUAAUAUUAUCAAAAAUAUAUUAAAAUUGUUAAUAUUCUUUAAAACAGUUUCACUGUUCUUAUGUUCUUGAUUCAUAAUAUAGUACAAAUUACGAAGUUGAAUUUGUAAGGUCUAUACUACUAAAACAGUACUUUUUUUUACUCAUUUUAUAUGCGGACGUCUUUUUUUGGGGGGGGGAUUUUCUAUUGAGAAAUAGUUGACAACCGUGGCUGUCGACAGGCUUUGAGUAGGAACAUCGCAUGAACAGAACCGGUAGUUUAGAAAAAACCCCGGUGGCAGUGUGACGAAUGGCUGGAAGAGGAUAGAAAAUACACAGGAGUAGAAGACCUGUAUUAUCCCGGUAAGUACUUGGAUUAUCAGAGCUACAGUCUGUUAAGCACUGGCUGUGUGCCUGGGAUUGUGUCGAGUCCUUCAGAUACAUUCUCCAUCCUCUGUCAUUCUCACAAGGAGCCAGACAGGUGUUAUCACCUUCCUGUUAGUGGCCUGCAGGGGCUAAGUGACUUGUCCAAUCCAGCCUCUUUAUAAGCUACGGGACAGAAUUGUUUUCCGCUAUUUCACAGUACUGUGUGCAAUUUCAAACAAAUAGAUAAUUCUUUUAGGUAUGUUAUUUAUUGCUUUUGAAGUCACCCUAACAUUUAAUAUUAGGAAGCAGUGAGCAAUUAACAUCGAUUUGUAGAUGGCUAAAAGAAUAAACAAAUCUCCCCAAACUGCCAUGUUGUUUCGUUUAUUUUCAACAGUAUUAACUAAGGCGUACACUCUUCUAAUAGCUUUUUUCUCUUUGCUGUUUCCAUUUGAAAUCAGAGUCCAAUUAUGUUGCAAAACCCACAAUUCAGAAGACUGCAGAGAAAUUGUCCUUCUCCAUAUAUUCAUAUAGUAGGACUUUUUCUUAGUAAACUGAAACUUCAAACACAAGUUUUCGAUUGAAAACUUAUCUUAGUUUUUUUUGAAGAUAGUAAAAAUGAAAAAAAAAACCCACACACAUUUGAAUGCAGGAAGCCUUUAAGCACCUUUCUCUCCCCUGCCCUCCCUUCCCCCCAUUCUUCCUGUGAAGCAUCAGAAUAAACAUCCCUCGUUUGAACCAAAUCGCCCACUGCGCGUAGCUGAUAUCAUGAGCACGGAUACAUAGAUCUCAUAAACAGAGCUCUCACACCUUAUCAGAACAUUCUCAUCUGAAAGGUGAGGAUGCUGGGACCCUGCCUUUUUGUACGUGGUCAGAUCAAUUAGGGGUAAAGAGAAAAAGCGCAUGGUGAGGAGGGGGCGGGCCAUUCAGGUUUGUUUAGAUUUCACUUAGCUUAAGUCCAUUAAGGUCUAAUUCAUUAUGUGUUUUACCUGAUUGUGAGCAAGGCAGCUGAAUGUUGUACGGCUUCGUAAUGCUGACAUUUCCUUCACACAAUUUAAAAUUAAACCUUUUAUUAGUUCAGGGAAGGCUGAGGCAGGAAACAAUAGAAGCUCGGGGAGAGUAAUUAUUUCUGUUCCAUUGUGUAGGAUAUUUGAGCUUUUGAUUAGUUGCAAUAUACAGUACUUAACAGCUAACCAAUGUUGCCAUGAUUAACAAUACAUGAGAAGUUUUUUUUUUUUUUAUCUUAACAGUGUGCUGCACACCCCUGAAAUGUUGGCUUUCUCUGUUUCUUGGUGACUUCAAUCUUGUUUUAAAAAUACCUCUCAUUUUCUGGGGUGUUUGAAAACGACCAUGCUAUCAACAGCGUGGAGUAGAAAGCAGCAGGAAUGGCAAGAGGGGAUCACUGUAAAAUGGAUGCAAAAAGCUGUGGGUUGUACACCAUUAAGCGUUCUCAGUGUGUUUCUAAUGAGCUUAUGAUGGCCUCACCGAAUUACUGUUUCUACUCCAGCUCAGUAAAUUACAGUAUGCCCAAAUUAAAUCAGUGGGACUCAAGAGAAGCCAGUCUUCAUCAGGGUCCACAUUUGUAAGAAUUAAAAAAUCAUACUUAAUCAUAUUCAAUCAUGUCCAUUGUCUCCAAAGUAUUAAGCUCAUUUUCUUCCCCCAAAUAUUUGGGUCCUAGAGUUUGCUUUAUGCUCAAGGAGCAAUCUUAUUUCUUUUCCUAUUUUAUACAAGUGCAAUUCUUAUUUCCACGUUUGGUCAUUCCAAAGCACUUGCAGUGUGAAUGCUGAAGAUGAAUUCCAAUUCAAUAAUCACUAUUAAGUGGUAAGAUUAUCAUGAUCACAUCUGUAUACGUUAGUUACUAAAUAUGUGUGGCUUUCUCUUUGAUUUUAAAGUGCUCUAAAAGCUGGGAUUUGGUAAAUUAUAUAUUAUUAGUUAUUAGUUAGAAAUAACGUAUGUCAUUUGGGCUAAAAAUGUUUUUCAAAAGGCUGGAGGAGAGACCACAACACGUGUCAUCUGCUGUGUGAAUGAAUGGCAAUGUGGUAUAGAUAAAAUAAACCACGCCACAUAGAUCAGCUUUCAAGAAUAGAACAUAAAAUGCUGCUAAGUUUAAACUGGGAGAAAUAAAAUUUACAGAAAAGGGGAUAAUCACUGCUUUUUUAUUAUUUCACGUAACUAUUAUGUCAGAUAAUUUGUACUUGUAUAACCCUUCUUGUCUAAGAGUUAAAGAAACAUUACAUGAGCACUUGAGAGGGAUGUGUACACUGCUCUUGUUGGAUAGGAUAUUCUGUAUACUUGUUAGGGCCAUGUGGCUCAUAAUGUUUUUCAUAUUCACUGUUGCCUUAUUGAUUCUCUGUCUGGAUGAUCUAUCCAUUGUUGAGGGUGAGGUAUUGAAGUCCCACAACUAUUAUUGUAUUAUUGUCUAUUUUUCCUUUUAGCUCUCUUAGGUUUUGGCAUAAGGUAAGUGCUCCAAUGUUGGGCACAUAAAUAUUUGCAAUUGUUAAGUCUUCAUGCUGUAUUGACUUCAGGCUAUACCAUAAAGUUAGAGUUAUCAAAACAGUACGGUAUUGGCAUAAAAAAGGAGAGAAAUAGACCAACAGAACAGAACUGAGAGCCCAGAAAUAAACCCAAGUUCAACUAAUAUUUGAUAAGGCAGCCAGGAAUACUCAAUGGAGAAGAGAGCGUCUCUUCAGUAAAUGGUGCUAGAAAUUCACAUGCAAAAGAAUAAAACUGGACCCAUAGCUUGCACCACUUACAAAAACUUACUCCAAAUGGAUUAAAGACUUAAAGACGAGAAACCAUGAAACUCCUGGAAGAAAAGAUAAGGAAUAAAAGGUCCUUGACAUGGGUCUUGUUAAUAAAUAUUUGCUCAUGAUAACUAAAGCACAAGCAGCAAAAUAGAAAAUAAACAACUGAGACUACAUCAAACUAACAAGCUCCUGCACAACAAAAGAAACCUCAACGAAAUGAUAAGACAACCUAAGAGAUGGGAAAAAGAUUUGCAAAACAUAUACCUGAUAAGGGGUUAAUAUCCAAAAUAUAUACAGAAUUCAUACAAACAACAGCCAAACAUAAAUCAUCCAAUGAAAAAAAAAUGAGCAAAGGACCUUGAAUAGACAUGUUUCCAAAAAAGAUGUACAAAAGACCAACAGACACAUGAACUGGUGCCCAACAUGAGUAGUCACCCGGGGAAUACAAAUUGAAACCACAAGAAGGCGUCACGUCAUGCCUUAACAGGCAUGGCCAUCAACAAAAAGACAAGAACUAUCAAAUGUCGGUGAGGAUGUGGAAAAAAGGGGACCCUCGUGCACUGUUGGUGGGGAUUUAAAUUGUGCAGUCACUAUGGAAAACAGUAUGGGGGAUCCUCAAAAACCUGAAAAUAGGAAUACCAUAUGAUCCCGCAAUUCCACUUCUGGGAGUAUAUCCAAAAGCAAUGGACCCACUAAGUGGAAAAGAUAUCUGCAUCCCCGUGUUCCUAGCAACAUUGUUCAUAAUUCCAAGACCUGGAAACAACCUAAAUAUCCACUAAUGGAUGAGCAGAUAAAGUUAUGGCAUACACACACACACACACACACACUGGAAUACUAUUCAGCCAUACAAAAUGAGGAAACCUUACCAUUUGCAACAACAUGGAUAGAACUUGGAAGACAUCAUGCUAAGAGAGAUAUGUCAGAUAGAAAAGACAAAUAUUAUAUGAUUUCAAUUUUAUGUGGAGUCUAAAAACAAAACAAAAUGAAAAAAAAAAAAACCCCAACGUCAUAGAAAAAGACAUCAGGCUUGUGGUUACCAGAGAGAGAGGAUGGGGAAGGGGGGAUUGGAGGAAGGUGAUCAAAAGGCAUAAAUUACAUCAAAAGGGAUAUAAUGUACCACACGAUGACUAUAGCUAAGAGAGCCAUUUGAUAUAUAGGAAGGUUGUUAAGAGGUAAAUUCUGAGGGUACUCAUCACAAGGAGAAAACGUUUUCCUUUUUUUUUAAUUGUAUGUAUAUGAGAAGAUGGAUGUUAGCCGAAUCUAUUGUGAUAAUUAUUUCACAAUAUAUGUAAAUCAAACCAUCAUGCUGUAUCCCUUCAACUUACACAGUGAUGAAUGUCAAGUGUUUCUCCAUAAAACCGAAACAAGGAACAAAGAAUUUCCCAUUGCAUUACAGAUAAUAAAAGGCUGAGCCAGAAUUAAUACCCAGAAAAAAAGAGAAACAUUAUAAACAUUAAACAAUUUAGUUUCACUGUCUUUCUUUCAUAAUUCUCAUUGGUUUGGGCUAUACAGGAAGAAAAAAAAAGGCCCCAAAGAGUAUUUAAAUGGAAUUGACUCCCAGUUUCCAUUUUCUAAAACCAGACAGCAUAAUCCCUACCCAUUAAUGUAUUAAUUGGUUAUCACGUUACUGGUGGAGGGUCAAAUUAGGCUAUUUAAUUUAUAGUAGGGAAUAAAAUUCCUCUCUCCUUUCCCACAGAAUCAAGCCAUCAUCCUGCCAGCCUCUCCCCAUCUGGCUCAAACCACUCUCUGCUUUUCACCGAGAGCAGCUUAACAACAGGACUUUAUACAGUUAUAAAUAAAUAAUCCAGGUUCUCAUUCCUAAAAUGGAACGCAGCACAGAGCUGGUUUAGAAGUUGGCACUGCGCGCCCUGCGUAUGUGAAGCAUCAGCGUUGAUUAGCACAGACAGGAGAUCGGAAAACCAUGAAGCACUUUUGAAACCCUGAUAGGAAGUGACUCUCUCUGGAUGCAGAUUUAUUGAUACUGACAACAUUGUUUUUUUCCCAAUUUUGAAAAAAGUGAAAGUACCUUGUACAUGGAAAAAUACAGAAACCAAAUGAAUAAUGAAAAAAACAACGGCUCAGUAGAACUAAAUGUCCCGAUGCCUGAAAAAGCAUGUGUUUGUGGUUGGAGAGUGGGGAGAAGGAAAAAGGAAGCAAAGAAAAGGGAAGGAGGGAGUAGGGUAGAAGGAAGGAAAGGUUAAAUACAAAAUGCUUUCAGCAGAGGUUUAAAAAAUAAAUAUCCUAUAUGAUUUUCAAAUGUUUGCAAAGAUUCAGUCCUUGAGCUUAUCUACUUCUUUAAAAAGGGUCUAUGAUAUUUUGCAACAUUAGCCUGAAAUCCGGAAUCUUGAGGAAUGUCAUCCCACACCUUAUAUAUUCAUACUGGCCAAGGAAAGAAAUUGGUGUAAAAGUGAAUCCCUUACAAAAAAGAAAGAUAGAUGGUGAAAAAAGAAAAGAGCAAGAAAAUUGCCUUAAAACACAUAGCAAUCUUCUCAAAUGUCAGUCUCUUGAUUUUUUUUUUUUUGGUUGAGAAAAAAGGAGAGAGUUUUUACCAAGCCUUUCCAAAUUUGUAUGUGGUUAAGUCAAAAAUUGAGUCACCGAAUGGCUGCAUUACAAGAAAAUCCCAGUACUGUAAUUCAAUCUUCCUCAAUAUCGUCAAACACUCUCUUUACUGACACCACAGGGGAGAGAGCUAGAAAUCACUCAACAUUGGAAGUGACGACGUUUAUUGCACGAUCGGGAGGCUGUUCUGUCCCAUUCCAGGGCUGUGUUCAAAGGAGGAUAUUCGCCUUUGGGUGCAAAACAGCGGGGUGGCUCUCAGGUCUGAGAGUGCUCUUUCUGGACUCUGCUCCAGACUCCUUAAAUAGACUUUUUGGGCCAGACGAGGUGUUCCUUCACUCUUUAUGACGGCUCUGUCCCAGUAAACACACUCAGAACAAGCAGACCUUCAACUACAUCCUUCCUCUGGGAUAAAACUCCCAAGGUAACCCCAUCCUAGUAAGUGCCAUACGUAGCACAGACCCUUAAAGGAGCUAAACACUGUCUUAGAACAACCAUUGAAUCCAUCAUAUGAAACUAAAGUUGGGGUGGGGGGGGGUGGGUGGAGGGCCACUCAGUCAUUGCAGAAAGGAUGACAUCGGUGGGAGUCUUUGAUCCAAGAAUGGCCGUAGCCAUAUCCGUGGUACAAUCCUUAAAGGCAAAGAAACAGGUAAAAAAAUAUUGAUAUGAUAAACGUGAUAGAAGUGAACUUACUCUUCUCCCCUAACACAUGUGAAAUUUCCCUUGGAAUUUCUUGUGGGUAUAGAUUGAGUUCCCUGCAUAUGGUGGGUGGACAACAACUAUCGAUGAUCAUUUUCAUGACCUGGCAAGGAAUGCGAAGUUUCCAUGGGAGAAAAUAAACCAUUAAAAAACAAACAAACAAACAAACAAACAAACAAACUUCAGGUGACCAAAAAUAAUAUUCAUCAGGAUGUCGACAAAGGAUCAGAAUGGGAAGAGAAUAAAAAUAUGCAAGACAAACAGUAUUUUCUCUAUUUUUUUUUACAUUUAUUUAGUAUUGAGAGACACAGACAGCACGAGUGGGAGAGGGGGAGAGAGAGAAUGAGACACAGAAUCCAAAAGCAGGCUCCGGUCUCUAAGCUGUCAGCACAGAACCCGACAUGGGGCUCGAACUCACGAAUCGUGAGCUCAUGACCUGAGCCGAAGUCAGACGCUUAACCGACUGAGCUACCCAGUCGCCCUCAACAAACAGUAUUUUCUGAGUGGAAAGUCAAUGAAGUGAAAAGGGCUUAGCAGUUGCCGCCAAAGAAACACAUUAAGAAGGGAUAGGAGACUUUUGAAGGCAUAAUAUUUGUUAAAUUGGCAUUAUCUAUUAUAUAAUUUGAGGGAGUUAUUGGUCUGCAGGGGUGCUUGGGCAAGGAGAGAGACUAUAGCUUAAUUCAGUGUCCAGAGUGUCGAGGAAACUGUUACCCAUACGUGAAAGAAUAAACAAGCUGGUGGCCGUACAAGCCAGAGGAGGUGGUCUACCCUCGUCAACAUCAUCUUGACUGCCUCCCGAGCUCAUUGCCAAGGCCAACAUUAUUAGUUUUUUUCCUUUCAAUACUUUUAUUUUUUAUGUUUUUUUUUUUUUUAAAUUUCAGCAGUCUAUCAUUUUAAUUAUGAGGUGAUAAGUAUUUCAAUUCUGUUAUGUGCCUAUCUAAUACAGGGAGAUGAAUACAAAUCUAUUUAUCCACCUGUCUAUAUCAUUUUUUAAAAAUAUAAUUUAUUGUCAAAUUGGUUAACAUACAGUGUGUACAGCGUGCUCUUGGUUUUGGGGGUAGAUUCCCGCGGUUCAUCACUUACAUACAACACCCAGUGCUCAUCCCAACAAGUGCCCUCCUCAAUGCCCCUCACCCAUUUCCCCCUUCCUCCCAUCAACCCUCAGUUUGUUCUCUGUAUUUAAGAGUCUCUUAUGGUUUGCCUCCCUCCCUCUGUGUUUGUAACUAUUUUUCCCCUUCCCUUCCCCCAUGGUCUUCUGUUAAGUUUCUCAAGUUCCACAUAUGCACGAAAACAUAUGAUAUCUGUCUUUCUCUGACUGACUUAUUUCACUUAGAAUAAUACCUUCCAGUUCCAUCCACGUUGCUGCAAAUGGCAGAAUUUCAUCCUUCCUCGUUGCCAAGUAGUAUUCCAUUGUAUAUAUAAACCACAUCUUCUUUAUCCAUUCGUCAGUUGAUGGACAUUCAGGCUCUUUCCAUAGUUUGGCUCUUGUCUGAAGCGCUGCUAUAAACGUUGAGGUACAAGUGCCCCUAUGCAUCAGCACUCCUGGAUCCUUUCGAUAAAUUCCUAGUAGUGAUAUUGCUGGGUUGUAGGGUGAUUCUGUUUUUAAUUUUUUGAGGAACCUCCACACUGUUUUCCAGAGCGGCUGCACCAGUUUGCACUCCCACCAACAGUGCAAGGGGGUUCCCGUUUCUCCACAUCCUCGCCAGCAUCUGUAGUUUCCUGAGUUGUUAUUUUAGCCACUCUGACCAGUGUGAGGUGGUAUCUCAGUGUGGUUUUGAUUUGUACUUCUCUGAUGAUGAGUGAUGUUGAGCACCUUUUCAUGUGUCUGUUAAGGCCAACAUCAUUCUUGCUAGACCCUGAACAUUCUAAGAGUCUAAAAGCCCUCUGUGCCUUCAUUCUUGGGUUCUGCAAUACUUGAUUCUGUCUAACCCCAUUAGUACAAAUAGAAAGCAUUCACAGACUUGCUGAGGACAGCAGCCCAGAGGACCCAGAGAGACAUGGGCACAGAUGGAUGGAUAACAUAAUAAUGACAGGAGGCUAAGCCUACAUUGUACAAAAUGGGGAACCAAAAGAUCCCAUGAUGCCUGUCCGCCUCAUUCUUCAACCUCCCACAGCAUAUGUAAAAUAUGUUGGGAUCAAGCUAGGCUUUGAGGGAUCUGAAGGAAAUUACUUUGUUCUCUGAGUUCAGUUCCCUCAUCUAUAAAACCUGGGAAAAUACCUGCCUCAUACGUAUUUUUAGAGAAUUAAAUAAAAUAAAGGUAUGCAAAUAUACUGGCAUUAUGCUCACACAUAGUGGCCAGGGUUCAAGUUCACUUCUCUCACCUCAAAACAGAGCCCUUAUUUAGGAAGAGAAAAAGAAAGCUCGCUCUCUAUUCAGAGCAAAUCUCUGGCACUUCUCAGAAAAUGAAUUUGGUAAGUGUGAUUUUCUUUUUAACUUACUGGAUAACAAUAUAAAUGUAUAAAAGAUAAGAAAAGCUCAGCGCCACCAGGGGCAAUUUAAUACUCAAUUUCAAAGACAACAUGAGUUUGGAACUUUGAAGAAGAGAGACUGGUGAUACAUAAUUUAAUCUAGUUCUCAAGUGCUUACAUUUUAAUUUGGAUUGUUUAAACACCACUCAUGAGACUACAGGGACUUUAAACCAUAUCACAAAUCACAGAAUGAAGCACUUUAUUUUUCAGGCAAGUUUAUUAAGGGUAGGCAGUUGAAUGACAAGUAACUAGAGUAAUCAUGAAAACAUUUUUUCGUGAUGAAGACGGAUGGCGGUACUCCUGCUUAGGUAAUACAGUUAGGUGGGCAGUUUAUACUUUUUAGAAAGAUGUCAUAUCUGGAAUGUUCCUCCCUCUUCAGAUAAGACUAGUUUCUGAUUUAGAAAGGGCUUUGGAAUCUAUCCUACGGUGUGUUUGGUGGUUAAAAACAAAAGUUUAGACAUAUCAUAAGCAACAUCUAAGAGACUCCUUAGAAAGAUAGCUUAUUAAAGGGAAAACAAACUGGUAAUCGUCAAUUUCGUCUCCAUUUAAAAGUCUCUCAGAGAGAAGCUAGUUCAAUUAUUUCAAAUGGAGUGAUCCCAGUGUGAUGUCGUUUACGUAGAAAGACGCAGAUACAUUUGACAAAACAUUUAAAUUUUACACACAUAUAGAUAUAUAAAUGCUAAGGAAAUAGAGAUUACGAAGGAAAUAUAUCAAACUCUGAAACCUUUGGAAAGCACUGACGUUUAGUGUUGGGAAAGGAGGAGAAAGACCACAGGGAAAUAAUGGCUGCCCUCAACCACGAUGAGGCAGGGGUUUAUGUCUGAAAGCCAGGAAUCGGUAAAAUUGCUUUUCUUGACUUCUAGAUCUAAAACAAACAAACCAAAACAUUUCAAGCAUCCUAGCGAAGAGGUUAAGAACCUUUCCCUUUAGAAAUCAAAAGUAUACACAAAACUGGAAAAGGCAGAUUCAGUAUUGACACAGCGUGUCUAAGAAUGAGAUAGCUUAUAUUGCAAAACAUAAAUAGUUUAAUAAGCUAAUAGUUUUGAUGAAGAAGUAUUGGUAGAGUAGAAUGCAAAAUACCGAUGGAUUUGUAACAAAGUUUGUUUUUCUAAUCUGUAAUUUUUUCUCUCCUAACGUUCUUGCUUGGUAAACUAGAAAUUGAGCAGACGAUGUCAGUACUUGUAUUAGCUGUCUGUGAACUAAAAAUUGUUCUGGUGGAUUGGUAUUUUAUCAUUAUGCAAUGUCUCUCUUCACCUUUAGCAAUGAUGAGAGCCUAACCAACCACUGCGAAUGCUUAGGAUAGCUGUAUUAGUUUAGUGUUAGCUACGAUGACUUUUCCCAUUCUUUCCCUUUCAACUUUUCUGUGUUCUUAAUUUUAAGGCGUGUCUCUAGUAACAGCAUAUACUUGGAUUUUUUUAAACCACUCUGACAGUACCUAUAUUUUGAUUGGAAAAUGAAUUACAUUUACAUCUGACGCAUUGACUGAAAUAUUUGUGUUGAAACCUACAUCAUCCUACUUGGUUUCUAGUUUUCUAUCUCCUUUUGGGUCUCUUUCCCCCUAUUUUGUGCCUUCUUUAAAAACAAAAAAAAUCAAGCAUUUUUGUCCCAACGUUCUCCUGUAUUACAUGUUGGUUAUACAUUCUCCCCCCCCCCCCACUUAAGCUGUUACCAUAGAAAUCAGAACAUUCAUUCUGGACUUAUUGAAGGUUAAUAAACUUAGUACUUUUACAACAUCCCAGAUGGUGAAAGAUCUGAAUAUUUUAAAUCCAUUUACCCUUUUGUGCUAUUAUUUUCAUGUCAUUUGUUUCACCUAUAUGCCUUAGUUUGGCUUUCCCCUCUCCCCCCAAAACAGAUCUUAGGACAAAAGUUAGAGCUCAGAGCUUAUUUGGAAAUGGAUCCCAGAAGGAAAGUGAUCAAGUGGGGAAGGGAGGAAAGUAAAAAAAAUAUGUAUUAAUGAUCAGGUCACACAGUUUGGGGACUUAAAUGUAUUCGGGGCUGUACUGGUGGUACAUGAAUGGAGUUUCCACCAUUUAUUGCUGUUUCAACAUUUACUGGUGCGGUUUCCACCAUUUAUUACAUUCUCAAUUUCAAGGAGUGUAGUUUUCAGGAACAACACGUGCAUUUGAUUGUUUUUUUUAUUAAUUCCAGUUUUCGGUUGAAAUUCGGAUGAUGACCCAAAGAAUUUUGCCAGAGAACUUUUAGCCUUAUUAAACUGCUAUGCUCCAAUCUGUUUCUACCUCCAAUGUUGGGCCUAUGUGUUAAUCUGGUUCUGUACAUGUUUCCUCUUUAUUUUCAUUCAUUUGGUUCUGACAUCGUGUGAAGUUCUGGAUUAUGCUAUCUUCCUCCAGAGAGGAUUUGUUUCUCUUCUGAUAAGCAGUUAGAAUAAACGCUGAUCUCCUUCAGUCAGUCAAGGUUUCUGUCUGUGUCACAGCUGCCCUAGACCCUCUGCUUUGAUUCGCCUUUCGCAAGGCUCGACAGGAAUCCUGGGGUAUUUUCCUUCCUAAUGGGCCUUGAAUCUCCAUUUUUCUUUCUUUUUCAUCUGAUUACUGAAACUGUUGGAAACUCGGCUGAAAUUUCUUAACUGAAGGUGUCUUCCUGUCUUUCCAGUUUCUCACUUGAUGCUGUUUAGGAAUCAGAAGGUGCCAGAAAGGGGAAGAGAAGCAGAGAAGGUAGGGCUCACUUUAAAGCAUUUCUCUUUUCUCCAGAAGCUUGGUCCCUUAAAGCCUUGUCUAACAUUGUUUUCUUACUCCUAAAAUAGCUCCUUUCUUUUUUUAUCCAGUUUUUAUUUAUUUUGCCUUUGGUGGGAUCGUUGGUUUAAAUCAAGCUAUUCUCUCAUAGCCAGAAGCCAGAUUAUUGUGGUAAGGUGGAAAUUCUCAUUUAUUGUAUGGUCUUAGUGAAUGACACCAGAAGUAAACGUGGAGACAUUUUUCACUGAGAGUCUCUGGAGAUUUUGGUUCCUCAUAAUUAUUAGUACUCUACGAGUACAUGCCAUAUAGAUAUUUUUAAUUUUUAAUGUUUAUUUAUUUUUGAGAGAGAAGGGGAGGGGCAGAGAGAGAGGGAGAUAUAGAAUCGGAAGCAGGCUUCAGGAUCUGAGCUGUCAGCACAGAGCCCGACAUGGGGCUAGAACUCAGAAACCAUGAGAUCAUGUCCUGAACUGAAGUCAGACACUUAACCACCUGUUCCACCCAGGUGCUCCUGCCGUAUUUUUUAUGAAGGUAGAAAUAAUACGAGGAAAAUGUGUAUAGACCUCAGCAACUUAUGAGUAUAAAUACCUCUAUCUUUUUUACGUCCUCCGAAAUUACCAAAACACCCCAGGUGAUUAUCUCUUCUAAUCAAUUAAUUAACAAUUUAAUUAAUUAUCUCAGUGAGAGGUAAAGAUUUAAAACAUAUAUUAAUUAUUUGUUCCUCUGUGCUCAGACUUAUUCUUUUAAAGUUUUUUUUAAUGUUUAUUUAUUUUUGAAAGAGAGAGGGAGAGAGAGAGAUUGCACAAGCUGGGGAGGGACAGAGAGAGACGGAGACACAGAAUCUGAAGCAGGCUCCAGGCUCUGAAUUCUAAGCACAGAACCCGGUGUCUGUCUUGAACUGAUGAACAGCAAGAUCAUGACCUGAGCCUACCUUAGCUGCUUAAACAACUGAACCACCCAGGUGCCCUUCAGAGCUAUUAUAAGCACUAAGAGCUACGGCCGAGGAAGGUAGUAGUAAGAAAAAAAAUAAGAUCUAUAAUAAAUAGUCCUUAUUACCAGGACAUUUAUAAGCAAGUUUUUCAGAAAAGACUAGCAAGUAUAAGAAAUCACUGAACAAGUAAAUGUGGAUUAAGUCACAUUGAUAGUAAGUGUAAAGGAGUAACAAUAUAAAAAAGAUCCACAGGGACAAUGUCUAAUGAGGUGUUAGAUAUUGAGCCAUUAUUGUGAUAAAGUUAUUUGGUUAUUUGCAACCAAAAUUUCUACAAAGAUUAGUUGGUUUCAGAGAUUUUAUGAUAUCCUCAGAGCACAAGAGCUAAUUUAUGCAACAUGUUUAUUCCCAGAAUCCAUCAUAAUCUCCGUUACAAGUCCCAGAAUGAGAAACUGAACAUGCACGUCCGCACAGAGAAUAUUCUAGUCAACGAAUAAACUCUAAGAACAAACUCUCUUUUUAUGAGGUUACAUUCUCCAGCCAAGAACACAUUAGGAACACUUGCUAAUAGAAUUAUUUGUAUUUUUGCAAAUAUGAAAUGAAAUGAGUCUGUUCCUGACACUUUUCACAAGGAAACCGGACAAUUUCUUGUGGUGAUAUUCAGUUUCAUUGUUUUGGCCAAAGAGAUCAAAGGACUCAAUUAUGUUAGGUUCUUAAUCAUUUUUAAGGUUACACACUUUCAUUUUCAUUUUUAUUUAUGAUUUUGCCAGGAAUCAUAACAUCUCCAUGACAUGCUUUUAGAAAAAAAAUUGCAAUAAGAACAUGGGAUUGAAAUGGUAGAUGCUUUAUAAAAAGUAACAGGUAUUUUUAUUAUACAGCCAUUAUCUUUAUUAUAAAAUUUCAGUUGAUGAAGCAAAACUGGGUAGAAAAUCGUUGUAAAUAUCAGUUAUAAAUGAAUGCAUAGACACAACAGUAUGCUAAGUGCUAUAGCAAAAAAGGUGAAACGGAGUCUAUCUAUGUGUGAAUAUAUGUGUAUAUAAAUGCACACAUAUUACAGAAAAUACGACACGGCUGUAACAACCAUACUAAAAUAUAUGGAGUACUACUUUAAAGUUCAGUUAAUGCAAGUGACAACCAGUUAUAAGACAUAAUGGGAGAAAAAAAACCUUUGAUAGUAGCAACAGAACAGCUAAAGUACUGAAGACAAGCUUAAGCUUAACAAGUAAUGGACAUCUUCAGCCAUAAGAAGAAAAUUUUAUAAUACUGAGACACAAAAGAAGAUUUUCAUAUAAACAAAUAGAAAUUUUGGCUAUGUUCUUUUUUUUUUUAACGUUUAUUUAUUUUUGAGACAGAGCAUGAACAGGGGAGGGGCAGAGAGAGAGGAAGACACAGAAUCUGAAACAGGCUCCAGGCUCUGAGCUGUCAGCACAGAGCCCGACGCGGACCUCGAACUCACGGACCGUGAGAUCAUGACCUGAGCCGAAGUCGGAUGCUUAACCGACCGAGCCACCCAGGCGCCCCUUGGCUAUGUUCUUGAGUAGGAAAAAACAACAUAAUGCAGUCAGAUCUCCUAAUAUUAAUCUUAUUGAUUAGUUGGCCAAAUAUACAUGAAAAUUUUAGAAAAAUGUAAUGAUUUGGAUUGCCUUUGUAAAUUAUUAAGCCACAUUACAAAGCUAACUAUAUGAAAAUAGAGUGGUACCUGCUAAUACUGAUAAAACAGAAUAGAAAAUCCAUCUAAAUCCAUAGGAAUUUUUUUCAUUUGAUAAAGAGAGCACUCCAAUUAAAAAAAAUACAUACAUAUAUAUAUAUAUAUAUAUAUAUAUAUAUAUAUAUACAUGUUCCUAAGUAAAUUAAACUGAGUCAAGGGUAAGCCAUUUUGGAAAAAAAAAUACAUAAAUUUGGAUUCCUGCUUCACACACAAUAAACUCUAGACAGAUAAAAGAAUUAUAAAUGAAAAAUUAAUCAUAAGCUAUUAAUGGAAAAAAACUGAAACAUAGAAUUCUUUUACAGUCUCAGAAUGGUGAAGGCCUCUUAACUAUUGCACAAAAUUUUAGAAGCCUUGUACUAACAUAUUGGUAAAUUCAACUAUAUAAAAUACAAUAUUUCUGUGUGAAGAAAAAUAAACAAAAUCAAAAGAUAAGUGACAAAAGAAAAAAUUGCAACUUAUAUCACAAAUUAUUAAUUUCCUAACGUGUAAGCAUUUCUACCAAUUAAUGAGAAGCUCUUCAAAAACAGUUGACAAUUUGCAAAGCAUAUGAAAUACCAGAUUACAGAAAAUUAAAUGCAAAUAUUUGACUCCUAAACAUAUUUAUAAUAUGUUUAUGAUAAGGAAAAUAUAAAAUUAUAAUUUCAAGAUACAGUUUUCACUUAUACGUAUUGACAACUAUUAAACAAUUUGAUAACACAAAUGAAGUCUCAUACUUCUUGCUAGAAGUAUAAACAGAUACAACUAUAUGGAAGGCAAUUUAACACUAAUUAGAAAAAUGUUUUCUGAUUAUGCAUUGCCCUUAUUCGUAUUCUGCUACUGGGGAUUUAUCUUACAUUUGUAUCCACAUGUGUUUAAAACAACUUAUGCUUAGUUACUCACUGGGUACUUUUUAAUAUUGCAAAAAUUUUGAAUGAAAUAUGUUUUCAUCAUUAAAGGAAUGGUUAAGAUUACUAUGUCACUUUUUAAUAAAGCAUGUUAUCUAAAAGAAUUAGAAGUUGACAUAUGUCAAGAGAUCAAAAAUAUCUAAGGUAUAUUUUUAAGAGAAAAAAUAAGAUGAGAAUUGUGUUUUUGGAAAACUACCUUUUUGGGACUGAAUUGCGAUCCCUCAAAAUUCAUAUUUUGAAGUUCUAAACUCCAAUACCUCAGAAUGUGACUGUAUUUGGCCAUAGGGUCUUUUAAAAGGCAAUUCAAGUAAAAUGAAGUCAUAUGGGGGCCCUAAUCCAAUAUGGCUGCUACCCUUAUAAGAAGAAAUUAGAACACAGGACAAAACAUACAGACCUGGGAGCAACCGUGUGAGAACACAGUGUGAAGGCAACCACCAAAGAGACAGGAUUCAGAAGAAACCAGAUCUGCCAACACUCUGAUCUUAGACUUGUGGCUUGUAGAACUGUUGUUUACAUGUCUGUUGCUUAAGCACAGACCAGUCUAUGGUGUUUUCUUAUGGCAACCUGGGCAGACAGAUACACUACCAUUUGUGUAAAAAUCGCAUAUAUAUACACGUACAUAUGAAUUUGCUUGCAUAUGUAUAAAAUAUAUUUAAGGAUAGAGAGACAAGCUGGUUGCAGUGUUUUCUGUGGGAAAAGUAACUGUGUUGUCAACGGAAAGGUGUGAGAGAGACUUCUGGAAAGAGCAAUGCCCUUAGAACCAGGAGAAAAGUUUGAGUAGCAGUCCCUGUCCACUUAAUUAGCAUGUGCCCUGGAAGAAAAUCAUUUAGCCAUACAGUGCCUUGACUAGACAUCUUUUUUUUUUUUACAGUUUAUUCAUUUUUUUGAUAGAGACAGAGAAUGAGUGGGGGAGGGGCAGAGAGAUAGGGAGACACAGAAUCCGAAGCAGGCUUCCAGGCUCUGAACUAACAGCACAGAGCCCCACGUGGGGCUCGGACUCACGGACCAUGAGAUCAUGACCUGAGCUGAAGUCGGAUGCUUAACUGAUUGAGCCACCCAGGCACCCCUCAACUAGACAUCUUUAAAAUAGGUGCAAUGAGACCACUAAAUGAACAAUAAGACCACUACAAAUGAACACAUAAUCCAUGCUGUAUCAUUUGAGAAGUUUCUCUCCACUUAGGAAAAAAGUGACAACUGAGGAAAUAUAAAUACGUGAACAUUCAGUAUCUAAUCAAAAACUUAGUCUCACGUGUCACAAAGACUAAAGUUCAGAAGAGCUGAGGAUGACAAUUGCGUUAGGUUGGUCCUAAGCAAGGAAAACAACUAAGAAAUAAUUUUCUUGAUUAUGGACAGAUGGUAUAAACUUAGCAAAAGAGAGAAAGGAAAUAGGGAUCCCCUAUUUUAUUUCUGUGCUCCCUGUCAAGGAGAAUGAUCUUCAACCUGGAAACGGAGGAAAAGCUAUUGGGUGGGGGGAAUUGAAACUGAAAGAUAAGUGAACAGAUUGUAAAAGAGCAUUCAGCUUCUCAAAAUAAAUCCACUUUUCUGGACCCAGAUGAAUGGUUCUAUGGUACUGACAGAACUUGCCACAGAGAGCCCUUGGCUACUAUCAGUAAUCAUUAAGGAGAUAGUAGAGAAGAAUAAAGCCCAUCCUGGCUUUAAAAAGCUUUGGAAGGUGCCUUCAACAAACCAUAGAAGCGUCACCUUUUUCCUUUUACUCUUGAUUUCUCAAACUUGUUAUGUUUGUGGAGAAUGAAAGCCCGUCUCUGGAGCAAAUAGUUAAUUAUUUGAGAUAGGAGCUUGUGGAAAGGAAAUUCGUAAUCGCUGGAAACCAGACUGGGUACGCACAAAGAACAAAUAAAGAAUCAUGACGGGCCAACUGCAGAGUUGAUCUUUUGCUUUUUUUUGUUCCUGCAAAUUACUUUUUUCAUAUCUCUAUUAUGGCCCAUGCGAUGUUCUGAAGUAUUUGCUUACAUACAUGUUUCCCUAAAUAUACUGUGAGUUCCUCAGGAUAUGGAUGAUGUUCUAUUUUAGACUCCGAGCUUUUAAAAUCCUAUUCAUUUUUUUUUUUUUUUGGAAGCUUAGGAGCAGUAUCUGCUGUAGGCAGAGGACAUGUGGGUUUCAUCAAGCCAUUUGACAAAAUUUCUAAUUAUGGAUGUUUGGUCACAGUGGAGAAAAUAUCUACAAUUAAUAUUUGUAGCUUGUUAAAACCCACUAUGCAAGGGGCAUUGGUGAGUAGAUAUUAACUUGAGGGAGAUCUGUAUGUACUCAGUAUAAACCCUUAUCUUCAGCUCAGCUCUGUUUGAAGAUGUAGAUGUCAUAGACACAGAAAAUUUAUGAUUCAUAUAAUACUGAUUGAGUAGUACUAGUUUUGUAUCAGGGAUAAAACCGUAGGCAGGGCGUGCUUAGUCCCCGCCAUUGGAGCAUUUGUAGCAUAAGAGAAGAAACAUAUAAAUACAUUGAAGUAAAAUACAAGAGUUGUCAGAGGAAACUCCAGAAUUUUUCUAUAGGAUGAGUUUAAUGUUGGCGAUCUGGUGGAAGGUGUGCCUACGAGGCUCAUCUUGAGGCUGUAUCUGCUCAGUCAGGACUGGUUUUACUUAACUCUACAUUCAUUUGAGCAUGUUUGGGGUGAAGAAUAUUCUGGAAGACUAUGAGAAUGUGAGUUGAGGAUGAAGCUUCUAGACAGUGCUAUGAGAGAGAAAGUACAGAGGGCUAUGGGGUUACAUAGUAGUGGAAUCACCUAAUCCCUAUCCAUCAGGUAUAUGAUCUACUUUAGUGGAAGUGAUGCUGUGUCUGAAUCAUGAAGAUAAGUGAAGGAAUAGGUGGAGAAAAAGACAAAUGUUGCAGGCAGAAAGAGCAAUAUACCUGCCAAGUUAUAGAAGCAGGAUCAUGACAUCUUAGGAUAUUCAGAAAUGUAGUAUGAUUAGAACACAGACUGAGAAUGAGGAAGUACAACAUGAGGAGCCACAGAGAAUAGCCUUGUUUGCAAAGGUACAGUCUAUAUUUAUCCUUUGAGUAAUGCAAGCAAAUGUAGGUUUUUAACACUAGAAUAUAACAUAUUCAGUGUGUUUUGAGGAAGUUCCUUGGGAUGGAGAACAGAUUGGAGAUGCUACAUCUGGAGGCAGGUAGUCCACUUAGGAAGCUCUUAUAGGACCAAGAGAUAUUGGUGGCUUUCCUGGGGAAAUGGGAGAGCCAAGGAAUGAUGAGGUAGUGACAUGGUAACAUUGAUAGAAAUGAGGGAUCUAUUGCAUGGGUUGCAUGGGGUAAAGGAAAAAGGAGAGGAGUCAUAUUAAAUUGCAUCGUUGUCAGCUUGGGCUGUGGCUUUUAUUGAGUUGGGACACAGGUGGAACAGAAUGCUUGGAAUUGGAAGGGAAGAUGAGGAUUCAGUGUGGUAGAUACUUAGCAGAAGAGAGACUACAAUAAAGAUAACAAUGUAUUUAUUGCAGCAUUAUUUGCAAUGGCCAAGAUAUGGAAGUAAACUAAGUGUCCACCAAUAGAUGAAUGGAUAAAAAAAGGCAUGGUAUAUAUUCACAAUGGAAUAUUAUUCAGCCAUCGAAAAAUCUCGCCAUUUGCAACAACAUGGAUGUAUCUGGAGGGUGUGAUGCUAAGUGAACUAAGUCAGAGAAAGACAAAUACUAUAUGAUUUUACUUAUAUGUGGUAUUUAAGAAACAAAACAAAUGAACAAACAAAGAAAAAAAGUGACAAACAAAAAACCCCAGAGUCUUAAAUACAGAGAACAAACUGGUGGUUUCUAGAGGGGAGGUGGUGGGGGAGAUGGGAGAAACAGAUGAAGGGGAUUAAGAGAACACUUACUGUGAUGAGCACGGAGAAAUGUGUAGAAUUGUUGAAUCACUAUAUUGUACACCUGAAACUAAAAUAAUGCUGUAGGUUACUUGUACUUGGAUAAAAAAAGAUAAUUAUAUGAGAUUCAAUAGUAUAUUGAUUUAUUAUUAUUAUUAUUAUUAUUAUUAUUAUUAUUUUGUCAUCCUUGCCUUUAAGAACCUCAUUAACAGUAUGGUGCAAAACAAACAUAUGCACAGCAAUGUUUAUGAGCCCUCUAAGGCCCUUUGGAUUCUAGAUUAAGAACCCUUGUUAAGGGAAUUGAUCGGAUCACUUAAAAGGUAUGUGUACAUUGAAAUGGAAGAAGUCUUAUCAUGGGACCAUGAGGAAUCAUAGGCAGAGAGUAAGAAAUUUAUCAGAUAACCAAGGAAGAGAAGUCAGAGAGUAAAGAGAAAAACCAGAAGAGUGUCAUGGAAACCAGCUGAAAAUAUCUUCACUUUGAGAAACUUGUUAACUGUUGUAAAAGAUGGAUUUGCCAAUACACUGAAUGAAUAAAUGUGAGAAAGUAAAUAUUUCAAGCAGCCAGAGUGAUACAACAAAUCCAAUAAGAAGGAAUUUAAAUAUUAUUAAAUGCAAAACCCAGGGGGACCUGUGUGGCUUAAUCAGUUAUGCGUCCGACUUCAGCUCAGGUCAUGAUCUCACAGUUCAUGGGUUUGAGCCCCAUGUCGAGCUCUGUGCUGACAGCUCGGAGCCUGGAGCCUGCUUCGGAUUCUGUGUCUCCCUCUCUCUGCCUCUCCCCUUCUUGCGCUCUGUCUCUCUCUUGCAAAAAUGAAUAAACACUAAAAAAAUUUAAAUAUUAUUAAAUACAAAAUCUUAUACUUGGAUCCAAAAAGCCAGCUGGAAAAUUAUAGAAAAGUAACAUUUUUAUUUAAUUGAACUACAUAAAAAGCUUUAGGAUUAAUAUGUAUCAAUAGAACAAUCCUUGUCUACAAUAAUGUACAUAGAAUGGGAAGAAUAAGUAAUAGUCCCAUGUGUAGUCCUAAAUAGUUUGAGAUCUUCUUUUGUAAAACAGAGAGGUUAGAAACAUUGGUGUCUUAGAAAAUAUAAAUUGAAUCAAUGGAUGCAAUGUUGAGGGAGGAUGAUUUUAUGUCACCAAUUCAGGUAAGAAUUCCUAGUAAUUACUUCUGUCUAGAAAUGUCUGCUUUUCAAAUCAGUAUAUUCCUCAACAUUGUGGAAACAGCUUAAGCAGAGGUUAGAUGAUAAAUUUCUGCAAAAAUAAAGAGAGUUAUCAGACAGUAAUUAGAGGUUGGGACUGAAUGACCCUUAAGUUAUAUUCUAAUUUUACUAUUUUAAGAUUUGAAGAUUUCUACCAAAAAUUUUAAAAUAUAAGCAUCAGUAAAUCUAGAGAAAACUAUGUGUUCAACAGUCAUUUUAUUGUCAUAUACAUUGUAUCAUUAUAAUAUAUUUUAUUAGUGUAUACUCUAUGUUUAGUCAUUCCUACCUGGUAGUGAUUUUAUAAACACUUUAAAUAAGAAGUUAUAUCGUGAGCACUCAAGUGUUAAUUUUUUUUUUAAAGUUUAACCAUUUGGAUGCUAUAAAAUAAAAGGUAGCUGCUAAACCAAUUAUUAAUUAUGCAAAAAAGUAAAUAAUGAAUGUGCCUAUAACAUUCAGGCAACAGAGGUGCUUAUUAAAGUAAUAUUUAAAAAUAAAACAUUUCACUUCCAGAACUAUAUGAUACAAGUAACUUUCAUUAAACUCUUAAUACUUGAACUCGAUCAUGGCUUUGAAAAUCUUGAUGAAAAUGGAGACACAACUAUUUUAACUGAUAAAGAAAAAGGAAAGUUUCUAUAAAACUUGAGGCAAACAAUUUUGUUGGAAACAAUAAUAACACCAAGAAUUUUCCCCCUUGUUUUCAGACAAUGUCAUAACACCACUGAGAAAAGCGGCUUGAAAAUGAAAAUAAACACACUUCUCAUCAAAAGAGAGGAUUUGUACAAAGCGACCUGUAUUUUAUGUGUGAUGUUAUUCAUCCAUGGUUGUAGAAAGCGUAUUCCAGUCCUGUCUGUACCCCAGCUGCCGGAGAAAGGACGGCUGUACCUGUAUUGGAACCUGCCUCAGAAUGUCUACCCACGAGAUCUUACUCCAGCCAGACUUCUAGUGUUUUGUGAUUUUGCCAAGAAAUAAGGGAAAAAAGAUCCCUAAGAUGGCUAUUUCAAUGCAGCAAAGAGGAGAGGCUGUCUGUUUUCUAUGGCCCUGUGUAAUUCAGAUCCAGGAUGACUCAUUCCUCUUAAGUGAGAAUAAGCUUCAAAAAUUAGCCCAUUUUCCUCUCCUUCAGGCUUUAGUGUCCACAUCAGCCAAACCAAGCAAAGAGUUCACUUUGAAAGAAAUCUCACAGCAGACAGCAAAGCCUGAGCCACAAAAGACCCAUUUGUAAAGAGAUUAUCACCAAGGCAGCUCGUGGUUAUGAUUUGGGACAAAAUAGAUUCAUAGGAGUCAUACUUCUUUCAAAUACAUUUUCUAACUUGGACCAUAUGAAAAUUGGUAUCUAAUCUCAUACAAAAAAAAAGGUGUAUGCAGAAUAUCUUCAAAUAAACUGGCACGUAUUUAAAUAGGAAUUGUAAUUAAUAUCAUUAUCACUCAAAGAAAUGAUACUGUAUAUAUACAAAGGCAUGUGUUAUAUCAAACACGCAGACCAUGGUGUCUAAUACGGUCCCCACUAAAAGGAACUAGGCUCUGCAAAUCAAUGGGUAAUCCCAAGGCUGGGCAAGAGACAUCUUUUGAUGUCAGAAAGUAAAGAAGUGCUUAAAAAAGGGUAGGGGGAUAUGACAAAGACAUAGGAGCCAGGGUGAGGGGCUCCCACUGCCCAAAUACAGGAAAAUUUGAACACCAACAUAAUUAAGAACAAUAAAGAAUGUUAAACCAUUGGAAGAAAGAAGAAGCUAUCAGUUCAUACCAGUACCAGAUUAUUGAUGAAUAGAUGAUGGAUGGAUGGUAGAUGACAGAUGAUGAUAGAUAGAUAGAUAGAUAGAUUGAUGAUAGACAAAUAUUGAUAGGAGGGAGAGUCAAAAG
rnacentral:lncRNA from 1 species